CUCACGGUUGGCGUCAAGAUGGCGGACGAAGAGGAAGGCAAAGGAUAUCGGUGGGAGACCGAAUAUGAGAGAACUUGGGAAGCCAUUCAAGAGGAUGAGUCUGGCCUGCUGCAGCCCAGCGUGCUGGACUUUGUCCACAGGGCCAAGCGCAAACAGAUGCUGGCCAAGAAAAAUGUUCGACUCGGGAUGAUGAGACACUUGUACGUUGUUGUAGACUUCUCUGAGUCCAUGUCUGAACCGGAUCUAAAGCCUACACGCCUCAUCAGCACACUGAAGAUGCUGGAGCUCUUUGUGGAGGAGUUCUUUGACCAGAAUCCCAUUAGUAAUGUUGGUGUCAUUUCAACAUGUAACAAGAGGGCACAGAAGCUUUGUGAAUUGGCAGGAAAUGCUGGGAAGGUGGUAGAAGCGCUACAGUCUAGCAAGACGCAGGUUCCUUCGGGAGAACCCUCUCUGCAGAACUCUCUCGAGCUUGCAGCUGACGUCCUACGGCACCUGCCCGUGCACACCAGUCGGGAAGUAUUGGUCAUCUUUGGAAGCUUGACCACUUGUGAUCCUGGCAACAUUCAUACAACCAUUGAGACCAUGCGCAAGUGCAACAUUCGUUGCAGUGUUGUUGGCUUGGCAGCUGAAGUUCAUGUGUGCUGCAAACUUACCAAAAUGACUGGAGGCACGUACAAUGUUAUCUUGGACGAGAACCAUUUCAAGGACAUUCUCUUCCAGCAUGCCAUUCCUCCACCUGUCACGGGCAAUGCAGAGUCAUCACUGAUCAGAAUGGGAUUUCCCUACCACCGGACGGAGACUGAAGGCAAACCAUCUCUUUGUUUCUGCCACCUGGACAGUGAAAACCCUUCGGAUGGACUGAGCAAGGGCGGCUACUUCUGUCCGCAGUGCAGUGGAAAAUACUGCUCUUUACCUGUGGAAUGCAAAGUCUGCAGCUUGACUUUGGUGUCAGCGCCGCACCUUGCACGUUCCUACCACCAUCUUUUUGCCCUGGAGGCCUUUGAAGAGGUACCCUGGGACUCGCUACCAGCAGACACACCUGUAAUCUGCUUCUCCUGUCAAUUGUCCAUAUCAGACAAACAUGUAUACCGUUGUGUGAAGUGCAAGGAAAACUUCUGCCUAGAGUGUGAUCUUUUCAUUCACGACUCUCUGCACACUUGCCCUGGGUGUGCAAGCAGGUUGCCACCACCCGAGACACCCUCCUGACAUUGAAUAAGGGUUCCCAAAGGAGUAGUGUGAGUGUUGCUAUGUCAAGUUGAUGUGCAUCCCGUUCGUGACCUGGAAGUACUACCUAUGUGCGCAGCAUUAAAGAAAGGAAAGCAUCUGAAUUCAUCCCUCGCCGGCAUUCGUGACACAUUAACCAUCUGGCUUCCUGACAGAACUGCCUAGUAGAGCUGCCUGGCAUUACGGUUCUGAUCAUCAGCUGCGUCUGGUUCAAGCCGAGGCCCAUGUCCGAGGAGAGGCAACGCGGCACUGUUUUUGUUAAUUGUCAUGUUGACACUGAAACAUGUCAUUAAAACCCGAUUUUGUUAGCCGUA